rnacentral:rRNA from 1 species
GACGAACGCUGGCGGCGUGCUUAACACAUGCAAGUCGAACGGAAAGGCCCUGCUUUUGUGGGGUGCUCGAGUGGCGAACGGGUGAGUAACACGUGAGUAACCUGCCCUUGACUUUGGGAUAACUUCAGGAAACUGGGGCUAAUACCGGAUAGGAGCUCCUGCUGCAUGGUGGGGGUUGGAAAGUUUCGGCGGUUGGGGAUGGACUCGCGGCGUAUCCGCUUGUUGGUGGGGUAGUGGCUUACCAAGGCUUUGACGGGUAGCCGGCCUGAGAGGGUGACCGGCCACAAUGGGACUGAGAUACGGCCCAGACUCCUACGGGAGGCAGCAGUGGGGAAUAUUGCACAAUGGGCGGAAGCCUGAUGCAGCAACGCCGCGUGCGGGAUGACGGCCUUCGGGUUGUAAACCGCUUUCGCCUGAGACGAAGCGUGAGUGACGGUAAUGGGUAAAGAAGCACCGGCUAACUACGUG